rnacentral:tRNA from 1 species
GAGCGCAUAGCUCAGAGGUAGAGCAUCUGACUUUUAAUCAGAGGGUCGUGGGUUCAAAUCCCACUGCGCUCA